GGGGGCGUAGGUCAGUGGCAGACCGGCAGACUUUUAAUCUGCGCGUCGGGAGUUCGAUCCUCCCCGCCCCCACGA
rnacentral:tRNA from 1 species